UGAGCAAUCUGCCCUUCUCUUCGGAAUAAGCGUUGGAAACGACGUCUAAUGCCGAAUACGACCUCCUUUCGCAUGAUCGGAGGUGGAAAGCUCCGGCGGAGAAGGAUGAGCUCGCGGCCUAUCAGCUAGUUGGUGUGGGUAACGGCCCACCAAGGCGACGACGGGUAGCCGGCCUGAGAGGGUGACCGGCCACAUUGGGACUGAGACACGGCCCAGACUCCUACGGGAGCAGCAGG
rnacentral:rRNA from 1 species